rnacentral:lncRNA from 10 species
GAAAUGCUCACUAGUUCUUACGUUUCACUUAAAAAUGAUACGUGCCAUAUUAAGUCACAUUUCACUGGCUCCAGGAAGUCACUCUGCUGCCCCUGACUUCAAGAUAGUUGAGAAGUGAGAUCCAAUCCUGUGUCCAGAAGUGAACAUUUGAAAACAGUGUUGCUGCCGAUUUCAGGCUGGGUCAUUGGCCUUAUCCCGCACCGAAGUUGAAACUUACACCAUCUGUUCACAUCAUCAGUUCUUCUGGUUCUCAUGCUUUUGAACUUCAACUGGCACAAUUCCACUGGCUCUCCUUAGUCUCCAGGUUGCAGAUGGCAGAUUAUAAAUCUCCUUAGCCUCCACCUUUAUAAUCCUAACUAUUACUGACACCUCUUUGAGGACAAAGGAAGUAGCUUUCUGCAAGCCAAAAAGACCUCAGAAAAACAACAAAUCUUCCAAACUCUUGAUUUUGACUUUUUGCCUCCAGAAUUGUGAAGAAA